GCUGUGGGGGUGGAGCUUAGACAGAAUACCAACAGUGAUCCCCAGGGGCCCGCCGGUCUCAACCUCCCUUGUGCUGGGAUUACAAGAGUGACCACCAUUCCUAGCUUUUUGUGGUUUUGUUAUGUUUUUAAUUUUCUCUUUCCUUCCUUCCUUCCUUCCUUCCUCCCUUCCUUUCUUCCUUCCUUCCUUCCUCUCUCCCUCACUCCUUCACUCCCUCCCUUCCUUCUUUUCCUGUUUUUGCACUGGUUACUGGAACUGGGUGCUCUGCCGAUACUUUACUCCCAGAGUGUCUCCUUAGCCCCAGAACCUCUUCCAGGUCCAACAAUCCAAGACAGGAUGAGCCUUGAGGCAGUGUCUGCACCGCUCUCCAGAGGGUUAAAGGAACAACCUGGCCUGCUGCCCAGCAGGUAGCUGGAAUCAAUCCAUCCCCAGUGAGGAAUUUUAAACACUGUCCCAGAGUCCACCCUGAAGAUACUCCCCGAAGGCUGCCACUGACCUUCUGCUGGGUUUCCACAGACGGUGACUCAAACCUACUCUGCAAUCCAGACAGCCCACAGCAGCACAGUGCCGUACCAGGGCAUCGAAGGUUCAUCAUCCUUCUAAGCACCAGAGUCAGUGAGGCACUGUGUGUGUGUUAGGCUUUGUAAGUGACUGUCACGGUCCAAGCAAGGACUUAAGAUCUGGGUACUAUCUGCAUCUGGGAGAGGCAGGGCUGCAAGUCAGACCAUCCGACUGCUGUCCCACCCCAUCCACUACCCACCGCCCAGCCCCUCUACCUGUGCCUGUGACCACCGUCCCCACAAAGUGUUUCUUCCUUCAGGAGCAUGCUCUGCUCUUGCAGGAGGCCUGGAUCUUUUUACCUCCAGCCCUGCCACCACCUUGACUCCUGCGUUGCGCGCUGAAGUCGUAAUAACAUGCUCUCUGCUGCCCGUUCUUGUCCACCGCACCCCAGCUGCCAGGUUAAUCUCCAGAGAAUGCCGUUAGGACUGGCGCCUUGAUCACCUCGCUUGUCAAAUGCGGGGUUCUAGCUCGAUAGAUCAGCAUCUUUAGAGUUCAAAUAAAUCCUUUGGAAUCCUGAAGACCA